UUUUUCAACACCCACCCCUUCACUUUCUCAUCCGCCCUCGCCUUUGUUCGCGUCCUGUUGAAGUCGGCGAGCUCGCCCACAGUUCCAUGCCCUAGAACCCUUUCCGUAAGCGAAACGAAGCAAGGACGGUUGGAGAGAUAAAUAGGACUCGAGGGGAAGCCUCGCCAUAGAACCUGGGAGAUCAGGGGGCGGAGAGAAGGGUCCAAGAUGCCGGACUACGGGGAAAGAUACGAAGGCAACGACGACGGGUACACCGGUUACCGAGGCGCCUCUCCUCCGCCGAAGAGCAGCGGCUUCGACGACUUCGGUGAUUCCAGAUCGCAGAAUGAUUCUCAUGAACAUGAAAGGAGGUCCUCAAAAAGCAGAGAAAGGGACAGAAAUAGGAUGCACGACAGGGAUAGGGAUCGGGACAGAGAUAGAGAUAGGGACAAGGAUAGAGGUCGGGAAAGAGAUCGUGAUCGCAGAGACCACAGAGACAGAAGUGAAAGAAGUGAUCGUGGCCGGGAUAGAUCUGAUCGCAACCGAGACUAUGAUAGGCAUAGGGACUAUGAUCGUGAUAGAGAAGGGCGUCAUAGACAUCGUUCUCAAUCUCCAUCUCGAUCAAAGGGUAGAUCUGGUCAUAGAUCAAGAUCUCGUUCUCGUUCCCGUUCUGGAUCAAAAAGCAAACGAAUGAGCGGUUUUGACAUGGCUCCACCUGCGUCUGCUCUGAUUCCUGGUGCAACUGCUGCAGGUCAGCUACCUGGAGCCACACCAGCCAUUCCAGGAAUGUUUCCAAAUAUGUUUCCUCUAGGAGCUGGACAGUUCCCAACUCUUCCUGUUAUGCCAGUGCAAGCAAUGACUCAGCAGGCUACUCGACAUGCUCGACGUGUGUACGUUGGUGGCCUUCCCCCUACUGCAAAUGAACAGUCGGUUGCAACUUUCUUUAGCCAGGUUAUGUCUGCUAUUGGAGGAAACACGGCUGGACCAGGUGAUGCUGUUGUGAACGUGUAUAUAAACCAUGAGAAGAAAUUUGCUUUUGUGGAAAUGAGGUCUGUUGAAGAAGCAAGCAAUGCAAUGGCCUUGGAUGGCAUCAUUUUCGAGGGUGCACCAGUAAAGGUCAGGAGGCCAAGUGACUACAAUCCUUCUCUUGCUGCUGCACUUGGCCCAAGCCAGCCCAAUCCCAAUCUCAACCUUGCUGUUGUUGGGCUUACACCAGGUUCUGCUGGUGGUCUUGAGGGUCCUGAUCGCAUUUUUGUGGGUGGGCUUCCAUACUAUUUUACAGAAGCACAAGUAAGGGAAUUGCUCGAGUCCUUUGGACCACUUCGAGGUUUUGAUCUGGUCAAGGACCGGGAAACUGGUAACUCAAAAGGCUAUGCCUUCUGUGUCUACCAAGAUCUCUCUGUUACAGACAUUGCAUGUGCAGCUCUUAAUGGCAUCAAGAUGGGAGAUAAAACCCUGACUGUAAGGCGUGCAAAUCAAGGUGCCCAACAACCUAGGCCGGAGCAAGAAAGCGUGUUAUUGCAGGCACAGCAACAAGUAGCUUUGCAGAGGCUUGUGUACCAGGCAGGAUCCCUUCCCACCAAAAUAGUAUGCUUAACCCAGGUGGUUAGUGCAGAUGAAUUGAAAGACGACGAGGAAUAUGAAGACAUAAUGGAGGACAUGAGGGGCGAGGGUGGAAAAUAUGUCUUUUGUAGUCCAACCUUAUGCCAUUGAGAAUCAGGCCUAAUCCACAGAAGAUCCUGUUUUCUGUGUUCUAACCUCGGACUAUCUCUCGUUUAGUAAUUCUUUUUGGUUCUCAUCUUAUAACCUUGUACUUGUUUGCAGGUAACUUGGCGAAUGUUAUCAUCCCUCGACCUGGUCCAAAUGGUGAACCAGUUCCUGGCUUAGGGAAGGUAUUUUUGGAGUAUGCUGACACUGAGGGAUCUACUAAAGCCAGGCAAGGGUUGCAUGGAAGGAAAUUUGGGGAAAAUCAGGUCGUUGCAGUUUUCUAUCCAGAGAUUAAGUUUGCCCAAGGAGAAUAUGAUGGAUAGCUGACAUCGUUGUUUUCUAGUACUUCUUUUUUUUAACAACUUGAAGGCUGUACCAUUGGCUUUUCUGCCGAACUGAUGCUUUGCUAUUGUGUUUGGACAAUUUAGACAGGUAUUAGGGACAUAUGCUGAAGAGUUAAUUAGCUACGCAAAUUUGGCAUCUCUUAUAUGUUAAAAUAGUAUACACAUGAUCGCAUAUUGUGGUAGCAACAUGGAGAUUUGGUGAAUUGCCUGUCAUAGCAGUGUUACAAACA